AACGCUAGCUACAGGCUUAACACAUGCAAGUCGAGGGGCAGCAUGGUCUUAGCUUGCUAAGGCCGAUGGCGACCGGCGCACGGGUGAGUAACACGUAUCCAACCUGCCGUCUACUCUUGGACAGCCUUCUGAAAGGAAGAUUAAUACAAGAUGGCAUCAUGAGUCCGCAUGUUCACAUGAUUAAAGGUAUUCCGGUAGACGAUGGGGAUGCGUUCCAUUAGAUAGUAGGCGGGGUAACGGCCCACCUAGUCUUCGAUGGAUAGGGGUUCUGAGAGGAAGGUCCCCCACAUUGGAACUGAGACACGGUCCAAACUCCUACGGGAGGCAGCAGUGAGGAAUAUUGGUCAAUGGGCGAGAGCCUGAACCAGCCAAGUAGCGUGAAGGAUGACUGCCCUAUGGGUUGUAAACUUCUUUUAUAAAGGAAUAAAGUCGGGUAUGGAUACCCGUUUGCAUGUACUUUAUGAAUAAGGAUCGGCUAACUCCGUGCCAGCAGCCGCGGUAAUACGGAGGAUCCGAGCGUUAUCCGGAUUUAUUGGGUUUAAAGGGAGCGUAGAUGGAUGUUUAAGUCAGUUGUGAAAGUUUGCGGCUCAACCGUAAAAUUGCAGUUGAUACUGGAUAUCUUGAGUGCAGUUGAGGCAGGCGGAAUUCGUGGUGUAGCGGUGAAAUGCUUAGAUAUCACGAAGAACUCCGAUUGCGAAGGCAGCCUGCUAAGCUGCAACUGACAUUGAGGCUCGAAAGUGUGGGUAUCAAACAGGAUUAGAUACCCUGGUAGUCCACACGGUAAACGAUGAAUACUCGCUGUUUGCGAUAUACUGCAAGCGGCCAAGCGAAAGCGUUAAGUAUUCCACCUGGGGAGUACGCCGGCAACGGUGAAACUCAAAGGAAUUGACGGGGGCCCGCACAAGCGGAGGAACAUGUGGUUUAAUUCGAUGAUACGCGAGGAACCUUACCCGGGCUUAAAUUGCAGAUGAAUUACGGUGAAAGCCGUAAGCCGCAAGGCAUCUGUGAAGGUGCUGCAUGGUUGUCGUCAGCUCGUGCCGUGAGGUGUCGGCUUAAGUGCCAUAACGAGCGCAACCCUUGUUGUCAGUUACUAACAGGUUCCGCUGAGGACUCUGACAAGACUGCCAUCGUAAGAUGUGAGGAAGGUGGGGAUGACGUCAAAUCAGCACGGCCCUUACGUCCGGGGCUACACACGUGUUACAAUGGGGGGUACAGAGGGCCGCUACCACGCGAGUGGAUGCCAAUCCCCAAAACCUCUCUCAGUUCGGACUGGAGUCUGCAACCCGACUCCACGAAGCUGGAUUCGCUAGCAAUCGCGCAUCAGCCACGGCGCGGUGAAUACGUUCCCGGGCCUUGUACACACCGCCCGUCAAGCCAUGGGAGCCGGGGGUACCUGAAGUGCGUAACCGCGAGGAGCGCCCUAGGGUAAAACUGGUGACUGGGG
rnacentral:rRNA from 1 species